rnacentral:lncRNA from 1 species
GGUAUUACUGUUGGAGCUAGAAACACAAGCAUAUUGCUGGGUAUUACUGUUGGAGCUAGAAACACAAGCAUAUUGCUGGGUAUUACUGUUGGAGCUAGAAACACAAGCAUAUUGCUGGGUAUUACUGUUGGAGCUAGAAACACAAGCAUAUUGCUAGGUAUUACUGUUGGAGCUAGAAACACAAGCAUAUUGCUAGGUAUUACUGUACUGUUGGAGCUAGAAACACAAGCAUAUUGCUAGGUAUUACUGUUGGAGCUAGAAACACAAGCAUAUUGCUAGGUAUUACUGUACUGUUGGAGCUAGAAACACAAGCAUAUUGCUAGGUAUUACUGUUGGAGCCAGAAACACAAGCAUAUUGCUGGGUAUUACUGUUGGAGCUGGAAACA